rnacentral:lncRNA from 1 species
ACCUUGCACACACACACACGCAUACACACACCUUGCACACACCUGCACACUCACACACCUGUGCAUACAUACACACUUGCACACACACACCUGUGCACACACACACCUGCAUACACACGCACACACACCCACACCCACAGCAUGGACACCACAGGAAUGUGGAUGGGAACUGAACCCAUCUCAGCCCUGGAGGGUUGGAACUUUGAACUGGUGGCCUGGGGUGAGUUCCCCUCCCCUGACUUUGGACUGAUCAACAUAAACAAAGAAAGGCCUGUAGCUUCAGGUAAGCAUGUUCUGGACUAGUCUUUAACAUAUCUGAUCAUCUAUCUGAUCAUCCCGGACUGGUCAGCCAGAAAGGGGUCCUGUCGAGGGAGAAGAAGCCUUUGUCUCCUGUCAAGAGGCUGAAGAAUCAGGAGUUGUACUGUCUUUAGCAUCUGUCUGUGGCCCCUUCCCUGAUUGCUCUGCCCUGCCCAGCAGGGAUCUAAACAGCCCCCAGUCCCUCGAGGGUCAGUACCCCCAGCUGUGAGAGCAGAGCAGACCACCUUCCUCUGCUGCAGCCACUCAAAGGGAGAUUAGUUUUAGCUGCCUCUGCAGAGUGGCUCCUUUGAUUAGAUCUUACUGUGCAGAGUCUUCUUCAGGAAAGGUUACUUCUACCGUUUAGUUGUGCACCACUCAGCGACAGGGCUGCAUUCUCAGGACACUGUUAGGCAGUUUUCCCCUGGUUCAGGUAUUGGAGUGAACUACACAGACCUGGAGUGC